GACGAACGCUGGCGGCGUGCUUAACACAUGCAAGUCGAACGGAAAGGCCCUGCUUUUGUGGGGUGCUCGAGUGGCGAACGGGUGAGUAACACGUGAGUAACCUGCCCUUGACUUUGGGAUAACUUCAGGAAACUGGGGCUACUACCGGAUAGGAGCUCCUGCUGCAUGGUGGGGGUUGGAAAGUUUCGGCGGUUGGGGAUGGACUCGCGGCUUAUCAGCUUGUUGGUGGGGUAGUGGCUUACCAAGGCUUUGACGGGUAGCCGGCCUGAGAGGGUGACCGGCCACAUGGGGACUGAGAGACGGCCCAGACUCCUACGGGAGGCAGCAGGGGGGAAUAUGGCACAAUGGGCGGAAGCCUGAGGCAGCAACGCCGCGUGCGGGAUGACGGCCUUCGGGUUGUAAACCGCUGUCGCCUGUGACGAAGCUUGAGUGACGGUAAUGGAUAAAGAAGCACCGGCUAACUACGUG
rnacentral:rRNA from 1 species